GACGAACGCGGCGGCGUGCUUAACACAUGCAAGUCGAACGGAGCGAAUGAAAGCUUGCUUUUAUAAGCUUAGUGGCAAACGGGUGAGUAACACGUAGGCAACCUGCCGACAGGAUGGGGACAACAUUCCGAAAGGAAUGCUAAUACCGAAUGAAGCGGAGGAGAGGCAUCUCCCCUCCGUGAAAGAUGGCCUCUUUUUAUGCUAUCACCUGUCGAUGGGCCUGCGUCUGAUUAGCUGGUAGGUGAGGUAACGGCUCACCUAGGCGACGAUCAGUAGCCGGUCUGAGAGGAUGAACGGCCACAUUGGGACUGAGACACGGCCCAGACUCCUACGGGAGGCAGCAGUGGGGAAUCUUCCGCAAUGGGCGCAAGCCUGACGGAGCAACGCCGCGUGAGUGAAGAAGGUCUUCGGAUCGUAAAGCUCUGUUGAUGGGGACGAACGUGCCUAAUGCGAAUAGUUUUAGGCAAUGACG
rnacentral:rRNA from 1 species